GACGAACGCUGGCGGCGUGCUUAACACAUGCAAGUCGAACGGUGAAGCUCCAGCUUGCUGGAGUGGAUCAGUGGCGAACGGGUGAGUAACACGUGAGCAACCUGCCCCUGACUCUGGAAUAAGCGCUGGAAACGGCGUCUAAUACUGGAUACGAGAAGGGUCCGCAUGGGCACCUUCUGGAAAGUUUUUCGGUUGGGGAUGGGCUCGCGGCCUAUCAGCUUGUUGGUGAGGUAAUGGCUCACCAAGGCGACGACGGGUAGCCGGCCUGAGAGGGCGACCGGCCACACUGGGACUGAGACACGGCCCAGACUCCUACGGGAGGCAGCAGUGGGGAAUAUUGCACAAUGGGCGAAAGCCUGAUGCAGCGACGCCGCGUGAGGGAUGACGGCCUUCGGGUGGUAAACCUCUUUCAGCAGGGAAGAAGCGAAAGUGACGGUACCUGCAGAAGAAGCACCGGCUAACUACGU
rnacentral:rRNA from 1 species